UACGAAGGGGGCUAGCGUUGUUCGGAAUUACUGGGCGUAAAGCGUGCGCAGGCGGCUGCUCAAGUCAGGGGUGAAAGCCCAGAGCUCAACUCUGGAAUUGCCUUUGAGACUGAGUGGCUUGAGUACGGGAGAGGUGAGUGGAAUUCCCAGUGUAGAGGUGAAAUUCGUAGAUAUUGGGAAGAACACCGGUGGCGAAGGCGGCUCUCUGGACCGUAACUGACGCUGAGGCGCGAAAGCGUGGGGAGCAAACAGG
rnacentral:rRNA from 1 species